AAAUGAGAAUGGAGUUAGCGAAUCAAUAGUUUCUUCCCAAGCUAAUACAACUGGCACGGGUACUGGAGCGGCUUCAUCAAGUGCUGGAACUAGCAAGCAAGGUGGUGAUAAGCCAAAGGGACAGCCUGAAAAUGACGAAGAAGAUGAAGGUCCUGGCGAGGAUGAGGAAGAUGCAAGUAGCGACGACGGCGAUGAAGAACAAGGGCCUGGAGAGGGAGAGGAAGAAGCAGAAAG